UGAUCAGCCCUAUAUAAAUGGAGAGAAGCAAACGCAUUUUUGUAUAGCAAAGAUGAGAACUAAAGGAAAUAGAAAUUAUUUGACCUUUCCCAGUAUUGCCAUUCUUAUAUUGACCCUUAUGGCCAUAAGCUUUCCUUCCCAAACCACCGCAAACAAUCGUCAUUUAUUUCCACCUCCAUCUCCAAGAAUUUCUACCCCUAACCAUUUUAAGUCUCCACCGCCAUCUCCACCCAUGAAACACUAUGUGCCGCCACCUCCACCUCCCGAGAAAUCAUACAUGUACAAGUCUCCUCCCCCACCUUCUCACUAAGUUGAUCGGAGAUAAGCCAAUGACUUCAAAGGUAUUGUUGAUUUGUGUUAAGUCGUUAACUCUUUCAACAUUUUGUUGAUUUUUCAUAUUAUUUUCCAAAAUAUGUCCCGCUGAACUGCUCAUUUGAUUUUUUUCAACAAUAAUUGAAAAGAAUGGAAUGGACAUACAACUUAUGAAAAUCUCAUAAUUAUUGAUGGCAGCUAGUUUUUGUAUUCCUGCAGGAAAUUGAAGAUUAUUUGAUUACAGAAUGGGUGAGCUUGAGAAAAUAAUAUAGUUAUAAUAAACCCAAUGGAGACACGAUUCAGUAGUUCUCUUUAGAGGCUAGAGCUCCAUAAUAUUGUAUUGUUUCUAAUUUCUUCUCUUUUAUUUUCUUGAGGUUAGUUUUAUUUCACUCCUUUUAGUCUAUUCUAAUUUUCAGUUUCAUAUUUAUAAUUAAGAAAAAUGAACCAAAGACCUUUUGACUGCAUUAUUUUAAGGAGUUUUGUUAUUUGUACCCGGAGUUUGACACUUCGGGUCACAUGAUGUGAGUGAGGGGGUCGGGUCCCACACAUUUAUUGGCAUGGGGCCCCCGACCCCAAUGUGAGUAGCAGGUAACCCGGAGUGUCAAACUCCGAGUACCUAUAGCAAAACUCUAUUUUAGGUGUUGCUCGCCCUGCUUCCAUUGCUUGCUCCAUUUCUUUUUGGCAUGUCAUUUCAGCUCAUGCUGUACAUCUCGCCCAUCAACAAAUAAAUGGAUAAAGUCACUUCGUUUAAUAUGGGGACGCUCAUUUAUGACAGCGUUGGUUGCAAUUUCACUACCAUCAAAUCAUUAUGUUUCAUUUUAGAUCAAGUCUUCAGAUGAACUUGUUCAUGUCUUAAAUUUUUUCAUUCUUAUUAACUUGUUGUGACAUAAUUUAAUGAAAACAAAUCUUCUCAAUCAAAGAAAGAACAUCCUAAAGAAAUGAGGCAUGUGAAGAGAUAUUUGUCAUACGAUAGUUUCACUUAUUUAUUAUGAAAGUAAAAAUAAACGCUAUAAUACUACUAAUGAUAAUAAUAAUAAAAAGGAUAUCAUAACAAUCAAUGUUCAUUAUAGUAAUAGUAUAUAUUGUUGUGUAUUGGUUGUUCAAAACCAACAAAUAAACUUAUAAAUUGAAUUGUGGAAUGAAAAUUAAGAAUUUGGCCACAUUUUAUGCAUGGGCAUAAAGGUCAUGCGGUCACAUGUCCAUAUGCCGAGACCUUAAGGUCUCAGCUCAAAUGAACCAUGCGACCAUGGUAGGAUUUGGGUGACCGUUAGAGGGCUGUUUUUGAAUGUUAUAUUUUCAACUUCGGUGGCUUUUCAAUCAAUUUUUGACACCAUUUCACUCUCUUGAUUUCACUCCCUCGGACGUGGCCUAUAUAUAGAAGAUCUAUAUUCGAGGCUUAAAAAAACAUAGAAAAAACUUGAGAAUCAUAAUUAUGCAACAUCAAAGAUCCUCAAUCCAUUUCUUCAUAUUCAAUUCCUUUGUAUUCUUAAAGUUUUGGAGAAUUUUACUUUGUGCUUUGGUGAAAUUCUUUACAAGGCUUGUUAUAAUCCAUCAAACCAUUUGCCGGAAUACCCUUAAGCAUCUCGUAAAUCAUCGGAGAGAGGGCAAAUAAUGUAUGAGUACAUUGAUCUCGCGUUCAAGCCUUCGAAGUUAAUUUUGAUAUUUUCUAAUUUCUUCAUCUUGUUCCUGCAAUUUCUUAUGAUCUUCUCUUGACUCUUCUCUAUCACUUCAAUAUUUCCAACAUAUAUUCGUAUUAAUAAAUCACUUUUCGUUUAAUAAGUCCUGAAAUGCUAAUUUUGAAACCAAGAGUACCAAACACUUAUCUGAUUAUUCAAGUAGUGAUUCUUUCUCUAGUACAGCUACAAAUACAAUUGAUCCCCUUAAAAGCACAAUAAGACCAAAACAAGCCUAAAUAAAUCUCAUCAUCAUCGACUCUAUGCAUUUCAUCACUUACAGCUCCUAUGACACUACUCAGAAAGGUAAUUUGAUAAGCAAACUCGUGGCAAAGGAAAGGAUAUAGGUCUAGUCAAGUUUUGGAUUGAACAAGUUUUGAAAGUGCAGUUUGAAAGAAUAUCAAGGAGAGGAAAAGAGUAGAGAAACAAAAAUAGAGAGUAAUGACAAUAAAUAGAAUGCAAGAUUUUUAAGUACAAAACACCACAGUUGAAGAAAAAUUAAAAGACGAUUUUUUACUAUUUGAAAAUUUGUAACAAUUAGACUCAAAUCACACCAAGACACUUUCACACCAAGACUCACAAAACAAUAACUACGUCGACAAAUAGAAAGAAGAGUAUAAUUUUUCUUCCCUGUUCCCCUCGUAUUCUGGUUCACUUAUAAGGAUUCUACACUGGAUACGAGUGAAAAAUAUAGUAAUGGAUGAACUAUGUGAGAAGGGUUUUCAACAAAUAUAAUAGUUUUCCAUGUAUUUCUAUUAACAGAUCAUUGCUUUACCGGUGUAUAUAUCCUUAUACAAUGUGCACAUUUUUCACACCGUGCUUGACAUAAUAUUUAAGUGUUCAAAUUUUAUACUUUUUAAAUGUUGUUUCUGGAGUAUCUAUUUCUCAUUUUGAACAAUCAGAAGACACUUACUCUUCUUGAAACGGAGAUUAGAUGGUCAAUAGGAUCGAAAACAUGAUCAAAUUUGUAAUUCGAGCUCACCGACUUCAUGAUAUGUCCUUAAUAUGAAUUUUUUCCCUUUUAUUGUGUUUAAAAUUAGUCAGCAAUCGUCGUCCAGACUAGUACAUAUUUCAUCUCUUAUGGAAGCAACACAUCAAUAUGUAAGAGUUCUAAUGAACUCAGUUUUGCAUUUUGUACUUGAAAAUGGAAUUUAGAAUAUAGAUAGAAAAUUAUUGCAUUUUAAUUAUUGUGUUGUUAGCAAAAAAUGUAAGCUAUAU
rnacentral:lncRNA from 1 species